rfam:Syntrophomonas zehnderi OL-4 genome assembly, contig: OL-4DRAFT_scaffold-31
GCGUUUUUGCAACCGCUCGGUUCAGGCUUUCAAAUGGCUCAAGUCCUGCCUGAUGACCGGCGAGUCUUAUAAAAUGU